CCUCAGCUGAAGUCGGACGUUUAACCAACUGAGCCACCCAGGUGUCCCUACACCUCCUUAGAUUUUAAAACAAGUAUUUCUAUGUAUAUCAAUGGAUGCAAAGGGGAAGUUAUCAAAUUCAUGUAUUGAAGCCCUAAUCCCCAUUGUUUUUGGAGGUGGGGCCUUUUGGAAGAAAUUAGGUUGUGAGGGUGAGCCUUCAUGGAUUAGAUUCGUGCCCUUGUAAGAAGAGUCAUAAUAGAGAUUUCUUGCUAUCUCUGCCACGUGAGGACACAGUAAGAUGAUGGCAGUCUACAAAUUUGGAAGAGGGCUCUGCCCAGAACCCAAACAUGUUGACAUCCUGACCUCUGACUUCCUAGCCUCCUGAACUAUGAUAAAUAAAUUUCCAUUGUUUAAG